rnacentral:rRNA from 1 species
GACGAACGCUGGCGGCGUGCUUAACACAUGCAAGUCGAACGGAAAGGCCCUGCUUUUGUGGGGUGCUCGAGUGGCGAACGGGUGAGUAACACGUGUGUAACCUGCCCUUGACUUUGGGAUAACUUCAGGAAACUGGGGCUAAUACCGGAUAGGAGCUCCUGCUGCAUGGUGGGGGUUGGAAAGUUUCGGCGGUGGGGGAUGGACUCGCGGCUUAUCAGCUUGUUGGUGGGGUAGUGGCUUACAAAGGCUUUGACGGGUAGCCGGCCUGAGAGGGUGACCGGCGACAUGGGGACUGAGAUACGGCGCAGACUCCUACGGGAGGCAGCAGUGGGGAAUAUGGCACAAUGGGCGGAAGCCUGAUGCAGCAACGCCGCGUGCGGGAUGACGGCCUUCGAGUUGUAAACCGCUUUCGCAUGUGACGAAGCGGGAGUGACGGUAAUGGGUAAAGAAGCACCGGCUAACUACGUG